UCCCUUGCAUGGUGUUAGAUGCACCCAAAUCUUUCUGUGCUUCCAGAGCAUUGAGCAAACAUAUAUAUGAUUUUCCAAAAGGCUGGCUCACCUCACUCGGAGAGUCCUUGGGCCUUGAGGACAGGGACAAGAAAGCACUAAUGAGGAAGAACAUGCUGGAGGAAUAUCAUAUUCAGCAAGCCUAGAGGCAGUGACUCCAGCCAUCAAGAUCCCAGGAAACACUUUAGAGGACAGUGCAAAUUCUCAGGGCUUCCUUUCAACCUUUUCAAUGGUGUCAUUGUUCGAAGACCAUGAGGAAGAAGAGAAGAAUUCCUGGAGGAAGAAAUGUUCACUCAGAUUGGUGACUCCUUUCUAGAAUCCCUCCCAUCCUAAAAUGCUGCUAUGAUAAUAUUCUAGCACUAACAAUGCAAUUAGUCUAAGGAACUCAUGGAACUUAGACAUUGUUUCAUUCAUUCACAUUGCAGAGAGAGAAAACAGUUAGGGAACAGGUGACACCAUGCCCAGGACUUGACAAUUAACAGUUGCUUGUUUGCUUCAAUUGACGGCUAUCAUUCCAACCUCUCCUUAGGUCUUUUGUGUCAAUCCAGUUUAAGUGAAACUGAGAUAAGUAGGGGCCGAAGUGCUAUGCAAGGUACAAGAAUUAUAGAACUCAUUCAUCUCUGUCAUAAGGAGUUAUAAUCUUGUUAACCCCUUCUUUUUUGGUACCGCCUCUGUUAUCUAUAGCCAUACCUACAUCUGCAUCUAUAUCCGUCUCUUGUUGAAACCCACACUAGAAGGGGACUGUGUCUGUGAGCUCCUUAAAGAAAGAGUCUUACUGCUUCCCGUAUCUCACCCACCAGGGAGCAGGUAUGGCUGCCCAAAGGUUGGGCCUGGAGAGGACUGAGAUCUGUAGUUGGUAGAUCCAGAACAAAUGAUAGGAUUUUCUGGCUACAUUUGGUUCAGGAGUGGAUUGGUGGAAAGCAAGACAGUGUCUGGGAUCAGGGAUCAUUCUUGCAUGAAGGUCUACACAGUCACAGGCUCCAGACUCAGCUCUGCCGACGGACUGGAGACCACUUCUCCUACUUCGUCAGAGGGCCUCUGACACCACGUUGUAAGAAAAGGUCAGACUCAGCUCCCGAGGAGGCUACAGUGACAGCUGUGAUUGUCAUGGGCCUGUGGAUGCUUCCACUUUGCUCAUUCAAUCACUCAUUCAUUUCUUCAUUCAACAAAUGUUUAUUGAAUGUCUACUACGUGCCAAGGACUGGUUCAAAAUACUGGUGACAGAAUGAUAGAAAUUUAUUGAGCCGUUUCCUCAAUGCCUGGAAUGGGGCUGAAGGUGAGGAAUGGGGUAAAUGAUAGUGAUGAAUACGACCAGUCCUGGCAGUGCUUCUCAGACUUUUCCAUGAACCACUCUGAUGGUUAAGGACACUGAAGGAGAAUGGGAGAUUGAUCAUUUCUCCUGCCGAUAAAGGGACAGUAUUCUACCCAGUGGGUUUGGCCCCUGACCUAAGAAAUAUAUGGAUGCAUCAAAAUUCCCUGAGCUGACAACUUGGAUGAACUCUGGAGGCUGUAAAUCUGCAAAGGCAGAGAGGGGCCAGGCAGGCCUGUGCGAGAGGGCUCUCCCCUCAUUUAGUGUGCAUCAACCACCAUGAUGGCCGAGCAAUUCCUUGUCUGCUUUUUACCCAACAUAAUUUGCAAAUUGAUUGUUCUUCCUUGGAAGUCUUUCUUAAUUAAAUAGUAACUGCAGUUACUACCCUCAGACAAAGGGGACAUGUUAGUGUCCUGGCAGAGCACAGCCUUAGCUCAGUGAAUUUACGUUUGCUGAAGUGCCCAUCAUGGACUCAUGUGCAGAACUCUACUGCAUGGCUCCUUCUAGAGGAAUGAGACUGCACUCCUUGCCCACAAAGAGCCAGAAUAAGCCCUUUACCACUGGGGCAAAGAGCUCUAAACAGAGACAAAUGGAUGCCCUCUGGGCCCACACUUGAUUCCAGGGACUGUGGGAGAAUCAGCCUUGACUGUCGUUGACUGCGUGCCUAUGUGCCUGGCACUGUGUUGGGCCCUUUCACACGAACCAUCUCAUUUAAUCUUCAUAACCCAAAGAAGGAGGGGCAGUUAUAUCUAUUUUCCAAAGAAGCAACUGAAGGUCAGCAACUUGCUCAACAUCAUGUAGCUAGUAAGGAGCUUGAGCCUUGGGCAGACUCCAUCCACACCUCCUGUGCCCCCUGCAUGCCCUGCCACAAGCUGAGUGUGAAACCCUUCCACUUCAUGCUGCUGUUUUAGAGUCCCUGUGAGUUGGUGUAGUCAUGAUGAAAACUAUCCUUGAACUCAAAUUACUGCUGCUUUUGUGGCUGCUGCUUGUGAUCUGGCCGUGAUUGACUUGAU
ensembl:lncRNA